UCAAAUUUAUUCAGUAGUAUCACCUUCCACAUAAUAUGUAUGUAAACUUUUGCAUCUGUGAAUUACUAUAUAUAUGGAUGCUCACUGAGUUGAGUUCGUCAAGCCUUCAACAUUAUAUCAUUUAAUUACUUGUUCAUAAUGGAGUUCUUCAAGAUUGUCUUCGCACUUCUCUCUCUCUUCAAGCUCUCCUAAUCACCUCGGCAACACAGUUAGCUUCCGCGCCAACCUCAGACAUCUUCCGAGAACACAUAGAUGUAGAGUUUAACAACAUAAGAUUCUCAGCCGUGCCAAUAAACCUGAAUGUUGAAUUCCAUUUUAUCUUAACUUUUGCAAUAGACUAUACCACUUCAUCGUCGCCUUCCCCUACCAAUGGAAAUUUCAACAUAUAUUGGGACAAUAAUAAUCUCAGCCCUUCUCAAAAAGUAUGGAUUAAAUUAGUCCUUGAGUGUGCCACACUUGCUACACAAUGUUGUAAAAUAUGAGGGCCAUGAGUGUGCCACACUUGCCCCAGUUGACGAAUUUCAUACACAUGUAUAUAGAAUUGUCCAGAUUUCAUAGUAGUAAAAAAUGUCCGGAAAGAUUAUCGAUAUUCUGAAAUAGCCUCUACACAUUACACACACUGUUAAAAAUGAAAUCGGGUCACAAUUUGAUCCCUGUCUCACAUAGCUAAUGGUGGAAUGAACAUUAGAGAUUAUACAGGUCUAAGAUACCUUUACUUAAGUCUUUAGUAAUUUCUUUUUAUUUGAGGGAGUUCAACUUCUGCUAUAAAUUUAGCUUAAGGAUUCCCCUUUUGCUCUAUUAUCAAGCAGAAGGCAAGAGGAGGCCUCCAAUCUCUGUCAUGCAUCAACCCAUCAACCAAGUCUGAGUGUUGGCUCAAUAUCAUUCCCUAUGCAACUUAAGAAGUCAAACCAAAAGUCAGGAUCCAGGAUCAGUAGGGUUCUGUACUUCUGUAGAGAAACAUUAUUUCCAUGCCUUUCUUAAAUGCUCAUACAAAUGUCCACAUUACACUUUUCUAAUAUAUAACAUUCUGAUAUUAGUUUCUUUUAUACAAACCUCUAAGCCAUAGAGCAGCAUUUCCAGCAUAAGAUAGCAACAAUAUAAUUACUUUUAAUGCAUUUGAGGAUGUAUUCUUGAUUCUCUAUGCGCCACAAUUCAACAUAUAAGUGUUUUUGCAAAUUCAUAUAGAUCAUACCUCGUAUAUAAGAGAAGCAGCCCCAUUCAAGUACAGUUGUCCAAGAAAGCAGUAAUAUUAAUUCCUAUCAUCGCAAGAUGUUGGUAAAUUGGCUGCACCACAAUGGUUUCUGCAAGAAUAUAAUCACGCCGAGUUGAUGAAUAUAUAGUGGCAGUGAAUAAAUGAAGCAUGUGAGUAAUCAUAGCAAAUAUAGCACCAUAAAAGGAGAAAAAAUUAAUAGCACAAAAAAACUUGACCAACCUCCAAAAAGUUGAGCAAUAACAGUGUAAAAUAAUUUAAGGUCCAGUUGAGAUCAAACCGGAUGAAAAGAAAGUACUAUAUUGCCGCAUCUGUAAAGUUCAAUUCAUCAUAAGGAAUCUUUAUGUAAACUUCCUUACUUGAGUCAUUGGGAAGAACUGCAUUAUGCACAUCUAUUUGAUCGACUUCCCAAUUUGUAAUAGCUCUAAGGUGACUUUUAUAUGAUCAUGCUGAAGAUCAAAAACUCAAAUGCACUUUAAAAUAAAAUAUUUCCAACAUGAAUCAUUCACGACAUACCAAAGCUAAUGUCCAUGGUCACUGGAAUGAUCGUCAUGGCCUUCCCAAGGAUGUUGCCAGCCCUAUAAGAUAUGCCAAUGAAAUUAGAGAGAACAAUAGCUACAUGCAACAAAAUCAAAGUCGAAUGAAAUAAUGCGCUUCUACUCACCAAUACUACAGGACCAUCCUAUAAGAUAUCUCAUUUAGUAAAACUUUUAACUUUGUCAUUUUUCGUUGUGAAGAUGUCCAUGUGUACAACGUACUUGUAAGUUCACCAGAGGACCGUCCCAACACUGAUGGAAUCCAUAUCACUGGGUCAGCGAAUGUCAUCAUCCAGAAUACUAAAAUUGGAACAGGUUAUUAAACUACACUUUUUUACUCCCCAAUACAAUUAAUGCAUAUUCUUUACCUCUUUAUGCUCUUUGAAUUAAGGAUUUAAAUUUUCCAUCCCACAUCUCAGUAGUAUAAGUGGCAGAGAAAUACCAAAUUUUAAUUACGAUCCUUGAAUCAAGUAUUUAAAAUUUCCAUCCCAAUAUCUUAGAGUAUAUUUGACAGAGACAUACAAAAUUUCAUGUAGGAAAUCGCAGUACAAAUGUCCCCGUGUCCUGAAACCUUCCAUUAUCUUUGAGUGAAGCUUCUGCUUCUUCUUUCGUAAUGAGCCCUUUAAUCCAUUUUUGACCUAUAAAAGCUCAAAACCUGUAAAAAUUAUAAAUUUUAACAUCUAAUAAGCAAGCAUAAUAUAUUUCAUGUUAAUCAAAUAACUGAAAAUACAAAAAGCAAAUCCAAGACACUCCCAUAAAACACGAAAUAAACACGAAAUUGGUAACGAAUUAGUACACGAAAUAUUAAAAUUUUACAAAUGUUGUCCAAAUUCUGGCUUAACCAUUAGCACAGUUACAUAAAAUAAAGGAUAAAUUAGGCAACUUCAAAUUUGUCUGCGACCAACUUUUUAUCCAGUUUUCAGCCAAGAGCUUGCAAGAAUGUACAUAAAAAAAUAUAAAUAGAAUGCCACAAAUACAGCCUUCAGCCAGAGCAUAUCUGAACGCCGAGUAUAUAAAUCAGAGUCAUGUACUAAUAGUUCAACAGUUGAUCUGGCUUCAACAGAUACACAAAGAAACAACAAAAGAAACCCACCGAGUCAACACACAACAACUCUGUAACUCGCUAAUCGAAACACAACACUUCAGCAGCAAACGAAAGAAAAAAUAGCAGCGAAACACGGGAAUCGACUCAGAAACAUAACCUAGCAAAAUCAAACCCAACUCAGAACUAAAGAAACGAAAGGUAUUUUUUUUUCUUUGGUUGUAACAUUAUUGAGCUCCAUGGACAACUGACAACCACCUGAUAUAGUCACAGGAAAAAUUUGUAGAGCCAGACUUUCAAUGAAUAACUUUACCAGGUUGUCCAAGUCCACUCUAAUUUUGGUGGCACUAACUAUACAUUCCUCGUUUUCUGUCACCACCCUUCUAAAAUAAUAAGUAUAACACACUGACUCAACUAAUCAUAAAAUGCUCAUGCAAGCUCCUGCACUAAUAAAAAUUUGUUAAACCGCAUGACCAAUUUCAAGUAAGAAAGAGUAGGAGACAAUGUGACACAAAACAUAACAGAUUUCCAAUUUUUGUUCCUGGUUUUACAAACUGCAGGGGAGCAAAGAAAACAGCGACUCAACCAAUAUGAAUACUUGAUUAUUGGCCUACAUGUACACAACUGAUGGAUCAAAUGUAAAGCUAGUUAAUGAGACAGCAAGCCUCAUCAUUCAAGUAUAUCACAAACACCCUGCUCAGAAACAAAACACACAUCACAUUACCUCAAACAGAAGGAUUAGUCUCAUCUGCAAUUUCCACCCUCGUGAUAUCUUGCGUCAGCUCUUCCAAUGAGUAAUUAUGGAAAACUACGAUAAAAAAUACAAUAUCUACAUUAGUUAUAAAAGCAACAGAGGCUGCAAGAAGCAGUCAUUGGAGGUAUCCGCCUAAAGAACCCAUGAUAUUCAACAGCCUAACAGUCACUAAAACCAUUUCAACUAAAAAGUUUCAAAUUCUGAAAAUUUUUAUACAGAAUUAGGCAAAUCACCUCAACACACAUGGACAUAUAUCACUUCUUGAAACAAACAUGUGACAUUAAUGAGGUACAUAUAUGCAUAUUUAUGGGUCAAAAUUCUGAUGAACAAAGAAAUCAUAGUGAUAUACUACUCAACACCGUUAUUAUCUUGCAAUUGUUAAAAUAGUAUCAAAAAUAAGAAAUUAUAAAAUUCACAUAACUUUCUUAAUCAUCUACAAACAAAUACUACCUCACUUCUUCUCUCACUUCCUCCUUAAUCUUAAAACCACAGCAAUACUUGGAGCUCAAUCUUACAAUGAGCCUUAAUCCCAUUAAUGUUACGUCUGCAUCAAACAUAGAAAUCAAAUUAGUAAUAUCUAAUUAGUAAAUAAAAUAUAAUUAUGAGACAAUGUCUUGUAUAUAGAUAGGUGAGCAGAACCAUGACACAGAGUCGAGAAAUCAUAAAACCAGAAUUAAAAUCAUAAACAAUUCCAAGGCUAAAGCAGAAUCAAAUGCAGAAGAGCCAAAUGAACUUCGAAUGCAACAUGUUUUAUUUUCUGUUAAACCAGCAUGCUUGUACUUUAAAAAAAUUCACCUUUUUCUACAAUCCAAGUGAUUUAUGACUUUAAACUCCAAUGUGAUGGAAAUCGACAAAUAUCAAGAACACACGUAUCAAAAACACAUACUCACAGGUGGGAUUACUGAUCAAAACUGAAUUUUGCACUGACAUUCAUCCAUCAAACAAUUACAGAGCUUGAAUCUACAGUUUCCAGCUUAAAAAACUCUCCAUAAUCAAUAGAUAUAAACUAAACUCAAAGCUAAAACACAAUCAAAUAAUUAAAGAGCCAAUUCAACUUCCAUUUCAUUAAAUCCACAUUACACGUACUACUAAAAUGCUACCUACACAUAGAAUCCGAAACUCUAGAAUCCACCAAAAACAAUCUCAACUAACCUCCAAAACCAUAAAGAGUAAUAUUGAAACUGGAAAUUUUAAUGGCCAAUUAUUUAGAUGAAUAUGAACUGAACUCCCAGUAGUUGCCAGUAUAUUACAAAUAUGAUGCUGUAUAACAGUGAUUACAUAAUUGUAACAGUGGUUCAAAAUAAAAUUUAAGUAGUUGCAUAUCUCUCACUCUGAAAUAUUAUCAAACAUGUUAUGUGCAUUCAUUAGCCUUUAUUAUAUCAACUCUAUUGACAAAACCUAAUUAAACCCGAGAUUAAAAACGAAAGCUAGAUACUAAAGUGAAAGAAGAAGAAAAACCUGAGAUCAGAAGCGCAUCAAUAAAUGGAGAGAAAUAGGCAGCAGUGUAGGUUACCACUUACUUUGUGUAUUUGAGGAUUCCUGAUGUGUUCUAUUGGACCCGUUAUUCUUUCUUCUUCUUCGAACUGGGCCUCCUACAUCUCAGUUGUAAUGAAUGAGAUACAAACACAAUAAAUACAACAGAGCGUAACAGAAAUGAACAGAACACAAAAAUCUAACCACAAUCACCUUGCAAGGAGGUGAAAUUAUCAAGCUUGAGAUGAUCCCAAUUAGCCUGAAAGUAAGGAGAAAGCGUCUGUUAUCUUAAUCUAUCAGUUAACAUGAAAAGAACCAAGGAAAAUACAUACCUCUCUCAUAAAUUCGUGGCAAAAUCGAUAGCUGAGAAUCAAUUUCAGAGCUGGGAAUUUCAAUUUGGAGGAUUAGGGUUCGUAUGCUGGUGAAGAGUGAACUGAGAUCUAAAUUUGAAUUCAUGGUUUGAAUAAGGAGUAGUAGGCAGCGGAGAGACAGAGUUGAGCAAAAAACAAUUUGAACUUCAAACUGCAGCAGCUCAAUGUCCUUCCAAUUGAGGAAGUUUUGAUUUAAUUAAUAUUAUAUGCACAGACAGACAGCAAAAAGAAUGGGAAAGACGCCACAACAUGACAAAUGUUGUACUGUCCGAGAAUUAAUUAAGCUUGACUGGUUGUGUAUUUGGUUUGAAACGAAUGGCAAAUGUUGUAAUUUAGCAUGAAGUUUUAGGGUAGGGGGUGUAAAUAUGUUGGCAAG
rnacentral:lncRNA from 1 species